CUCCCUAGGAAAGCCUCCAAACUACCAGCCAUGCCAAAGUUGCCCAGAGGGAGAGGAACACAAGUCUGAAGUAUGUCUUUUCUCCGGAGAACCAUGAUGAUCACUGAUUCUAGGUUGUGUCACGAUCACAGUCUGAAGCCAUCACGAAGCCGGCACGAGAUGGCUGCUUGCACAUGGCCCGGGUUCCUUGCUGCUAAUUCUUUUCUGAAACAUUUCUGGAGCAGCGGGUGUUCCGUUCAUUGACCUUGAGGUCAGCCGGCGUGUGAUUGACACCUGCCUCUGGCUACAGGCGCAGACUCACGGAGACAGCACUACGUCAGCUGUAGACAAGCUGCUUCUUUCUAAGGAAGUGGGAAUAAACUGUACCGGGGUUAACAACCACACGGGGCUCCAGAGUGUGUUGACCUCUCCCAGCAAUGACAGCGACACCCGGGACAGUAGCGAAAUUUGGAAUAGGAUGCUGGACAAGUUUGAAAAUAAUUGUUCAAACCGUUUGUCUACCCUGCUCCCUUCAUCAACUCUGGAAGAGAAGGGAGGACCACAGCCUGCCAAGGGAGGACCACAGCCCACCAAGGGAGGACCACAGCCCACCAAGGGAGGAUCACAGCCCACCAAGGGAGGACCACAGCCCACCAAGGGAGGAUCACAGCCCACCAAGGGAGGACCACAGCCCACCAAGGGAGGACCACAGCCCACCAAGGGAGGACCACAGCCCACCAAGGGAGGAUUACAACCCACCAAGGGAGGACCACACCCCACCAAGGGAGGAUCACAGUUCAUCAAGGGAGGACCUCCCACCAUGUUGGUUAUGGAUUCUACUAUCCUCUGUAUCUGUGUGUCUCUGAUUAAAUGCUUCUUUUAUAGGUUUCCAUAGUCAUGGUGCAGAAGCUUUUCUAUGGACCUCAGAUGCUAUCUAGUGACAUUCUUAGCUUGGGGACCUGCAACAUUCCAAC
rnacentral:sRNA from 1 species